rnacentral:tRNA from 4 species
GCCUCCGUAGCUCAGGGGAUAGAGCGUCUGCCUCCGGAGCAGAAGGCCACAGGUUCGAUUCCUGUCGGGGGCACCA